CGCCUUCUGACAAUCAAUUGAAGGUCCAGCCUGCCCAGUGAACAAACUUAAACGGCCGCGGUAUCUUAACCGUGCAAAGGUAGCACAAUCACUUGUUCUUUAAAUAAGGACUAGUAUGAACGGCACCACGAGGGUUACACUGUCUCCCCCCUUUAAUCAGUGAAAUUAAUCUCCCCGUGAAGAAGCGGGGAUAAGCCUAUAAGACGAGAAGACCCCAUGGAGCUUUAAACUAAGUAUCACUUGCAUGUUAAUAUCACUUAAACCUCAACAAAUCUGCUUACUAGUUUUUGGUUGGGGCGACCACGGAGCACAACAAAACCUCCAUGAUGAAAGGAAACACCUUCCUAAUCAAAGAGCCACCACUCAUAGAAUCAAAAUAUUGACCUUAAUUGAUCCAAUAAACUUGAACAACGAACCAAGUUACCCUGGGGAUAACAGCGCAAUCCAUUUCAAGAGCCCCUAUCGACAAAUGGGUUUACGACCUCGAUGUUGGAUCAGGGUAUCCUAGUGGUGCAGCCAUUACUAAAGGUUCGUUUGUUCAACGAUUAAAACCCU
rnacentral:rRNA from 1 species